rnacentral:rRNA from 1 species
AAAACGACUCUCGGCAACGGAUAUCUCGGCUCUCGCAUCGAUGAAGAACGUAGCGAAAUGCGAUACUUGGUGUGAAUUGCGAAUCCCGUGAACCAUCGAGUCUUUGAACGCAAGUUGCGCCCCGAAGCCUUCGGCCGAGGGCACGUCUGCACAGGUGUCACAA